CCUUCCUGACGGUCGCUGCCUCGCCUCCUCGCCCUACCGUCCCAUCUACCCUACCCUUCAAACCUCGAUCUUCUCUCCGUGUGGAGCUGGUGGCAGAGGUACGGCCGGGGGGAGAUGAAGCAACGGCGGCGUGCCACCGCCACCUCCGAUGCACAGCGGCCACGGCACCAUCGGCACAAGAUUCGCAUGGGGAUCCCAGCCGUCGAGCAAGAGAGGCCCACCAACGACCGGCUAGAUUAGAGGCGAGGUGGAUUCUACUAACAAGGCCCUCUCCCCUCUCUCAUAUUCUGCGUGAUCUGAGGCAGGAGGCGCUGAAUCCUUCCCGAUUUGGCCUUCUUCCUCCAUGAUUUGGCCUUCUUUCUAGCCUCCGCUCAUCUCUGGUCCGUCAUCGUUCAGUUCCUGUGACCCGUGCACCGACAGAAGACCCUAGCCCCGCCUCCUCUGAACGUCCCUCUGAACAUCGCAGUUCUUCUCCACGAAGAUUGUGCCCUUCAUAGUCUGAUGGGGUGGUCACUGUUGUCAACAUCUUCGUGCUCUUCCUGCACGAGGAAAAUAGCAGAUGGUGUCGACCAUGGCGUCGUCCCCAGCUCUAGCACGUCGGAGAUGACGGGCCACCAGUCAACAUGAGCUCCACCAUGAAUGACAAGUGCAGGUAACUCGGAAAUUCCGGAUUUCGGUCUUCAUAUUUACAUCCGAGAGGAAAAGAAGUGUUGCACGGUCAUAUUCCAUAACUGUAUGAUGAACUGAACCUGAAGUAUCUCUUGAAGUUCAUGUACACUAUUGUUUGAUAAAUUGGUGGCAAAUAGCUGUGUGAGCUUCAUUUGGUCAGGUUCUUUCGACUACAUGAUACAUGAGACAUGGAUUCCUAAGGAUUGUUCAAGUGCGUUCAGUGUUAACGGAUGGAAUACAGAAUAGCCUUGGCCACAAUGAGCAGAAGAAGUACAAUAUGGGUGACUGCAGGUACCUCCCCAGGGACACAACUACUACCGUCACUGUUGAAGGAAUCACAGUUGUGCUGGAAGGUCCUUCCUGCUUGCUGUGUCUGCCUUCUCAUCUUAUUUCCUCCCUCCGUCCCAAAAUAACUGUCUCAAGCUUAGUACAAUUUUGUACUAAGGCUAGUACAAAGUUGAAAGCAGGCUGAGGAGAACACAGAUGCACGGCCAGCUGUGCGGAUUAGGCGAUGGAACCAAUAACAGGAGAAAGGACGGAAAAUAGGAAGGAGAUGAUGAGAUUGGCAUUGGGCAGUCGUCUACAAAUGUGUCAUGUCGUGGUGGUCAGAUUAGGCCCAGCUAAUCAAUUGUCUUUGGGCAGCACUAGAGAAUUGAUGAAUGCAUGUUGUACAAUUUUCUAUGAUCUUCUCUGAUUUUCUAACAAAUGUGAAAUGUUGAUCAACUAAUAUUUGAGAUGUAAAUUAAUAUUCAAUUGUAGAAAUUGAUAUAUGUACUUCCUUCA